AACGAACGCUGGCGGCAUGCCUAACACAUGCAAGUCGAACGAACCCUUCGGGGUUAGUGGCGCACGGGUGCGUAACGCGUGGGAAUCUGCCCUUUGCUUCGGAAUAACAGUUAGAAAUGACUGCUAAUACCGGAUGAUGUCGCAAGACCAAAGAUUUAUCGGCAAAGGAUGAGCCCGCGUAGGAUUAGCUAGUUGGUGAGGUAAAGGCUCACCGAGGCGACGAUCCUUAGCUGGUCUGAGAGGAUGAUCAGCCACACUGGGACUGAGACACGGCCCAGACUCCUACGGGAGGCAGCAGUGGGGAAUAUUGGACAAUGGGCGAAAGCCUGAUCCAGCAAUGCCGCGUGAGUGAUGAAGGCCUUAGGGUUGUAAAGCUCUUUUACCCGGGAUGAUAAUGACAGUACCGGGAGAAUAAGCUCCGGCUAACUCCGUGCCAGCCGCCGCGGUAACAC
rnacentral:rRNA from 1 species